rnacentral:lncRNA from 1 species
UCUAAUUCUCUGCUUAGUGACUCGAUCUCUCUUUCUUUUGAAGCUUGUGCAAAGCAGUAAGCAGAAGUUUUUCAAGGUUACUCUUGGCCGAAUCUAACUCCAUUUUCUUAUCAGCAGACCAACUCUGUUCAAGAGCAAAUUGGCUGGGCAGGCAAAAGAACUUGUUGUCCGUCAGGCAGGAGCGCAGGAUGAGCUCACGCUCGAGAAAUUCGUAGACGCCGUCAGGUAUCUUGCAGACGUGGACGAGUUGC